rnacentral:rRNA from 1 species
GACGAACCGUCCAAACGUUAUUCGGAAUCACUGGGCUUACAGAGUUCGUAGGCGGUCUGGAAAGUUGGGUGUGAAAUCCCUCGGCUCAACCGAGGAACUGCGCUUGAAACUACCAGACUCGAGGGAGAUAGAGGAAAGCGGAACUGAUGGUGGAGCGGUGAAAUGCGUUGAUAUCAUCAGGAACACCGGUGGCGAAGGCGGCUUUCUGGGCCGAAAUUGACGCUGAGGAGCGAAAGCGUGGGGAGCAAACAGG